rnacentral:rRNA from 1 species
CCUACGGGAGGCAGCAGUAGGGAAUCUUCCGCAAUGGACGAAAGUCUGACGGAGCAACGCCGCGUGAGUGAUGAAGGCUUUCGGGUCGUAAAACUCUGUUGUUAGGGAAGAACAAGUGCUAGUUGAAUAAGCUGGCACCUUGACGGUACCUAACCAGAAAGCCACGGCUAACUACGUGCCAGCAGCCGCGGUAAUACGUAGGUGGCAAGCGUUAUCCGGAAUUAUUGGGCGUAAAGCGCGCGCAGGUGGUUUCUUAAGUCUGAUGUGAAAGCCCACGGCUUAACCUCGGAAUUGCAUUUGAAACUGGCAGGCUAGAGUCUUGUAGAGGGGGGUAGAAUUUCAGGUGUAGCGGUGAAAUGCGUAGAGAUCUGAAGGAAUACCAGUGGCGAAGGCGGCCCCCUGGACAAAGACUGACGCUCAGAUGCGAAAGCGUGGGGAGCAAACAGGAUUAGAUACCCUGGUAGUCCACGCCGUAAACGAUGAGUGCUAAGUGUUAGGGGGUUUCCGCCCCUUAGUGCUGCAGCUAACGCAUUAAGCACUCCGCCUGGGGAGUACGGUCGCAAGACUGAAACUCAAAGGAAUUGACGGA